GUAAAAGCGUUGAAGGAAAAAAGAGUAACUUUCUCUCUCCCUUUCCCAGAGAGUCGAUGGCGGUGGAAGUCGACAUAAAGAGUGAAAGUGAAGUUCGUUUUCCUGAGCUUCUUUUGUAGACACAAAGGACGGUACUGGUCGUUAUCCAUGUUGAGAUGUGAGGGAGUAGUCUCUCAUAACUAGGGUGGUACCGCGACCAUUUCGCCCCUACG
rnacentral:ncRNA from 1 species